rnacentral:lncRNA from 10 species
UAGAGUUUUGUAAGUUGGUAGGUAUUGGUAGAAUUGGAAAAUUUUUAACAUUUAAAUUUUAAAAAAUUCCUUUUUUUUCACAUGCUGUGGUAGGCAGAGAUAAAAUAUUCUCUCAUGAAGUCUGUAUUCCAAUUUUGGGGACAGUAUAGCUCUAAGGAAAUACAGUUUUCAGUGCUGUUGUGGAAGAGGGAGUAACAGUUUUGAUGUAGAACUUUUAUGAAAAAGCAAAAUGGUAGAGAGCAACAACAGUAAAAGGGUUAGAGUUAAGGUUCCCCUCUCACCAAAUGAUAAUGGGGUAAAUGUUGGAGGAUUUGCUGCUGCUGUGCUUACAAUCAAACCUUCCUUCAUAUUACUGUUUUGUAAUUCAUUCUACACUGAAAUAGUUCAUUGUACCUAACACUGCUCCAGCCAGCUUUUGAGGCACUGACUUCACCCUCAAUUUCUCUUAAGAGGAAGAGGGAAAAAAAUCUCUCACUCGCUACUUCACAGAAUCUGUGUUGUUAUACAUGGAACUUUGUUAUGGAGAGUAAUUUUUAUUUUAGACACAUUGUAAAUGUUUCUUACAAUGAUUAUUUUUAAAGCAAGCUCUAGAGUUUCCAAAACUGGGCAUUGAGUAGAAUCCAGCAUCGUAAUAAUUCAGAUUUGGUUCCUGUUUGCCCUUGUACUGUGCUGGAGCUCACUGUCCUGGAGCUCAAGGGAACCCACUGGCACUAGAGGUGUAUUGAGUUGAGUCAAUGGAACACCUGUCAGCUUCCAUCUCGAUACCAUAGGGAGCAUGAAUGUUCAAGCUCUUGCUGCUAGAAGUGAUGAAAGUGGCUGCCGUUAUGGUUUUUAUUAAUAGCUUUUUUUUUUUGUAAAAUGUCCUUUUAAAUGAAGACAAGUUUACUUUAUGAAAAAUAAUCAAGUUUAUGCUUUGUGCUUUUGUCACUGUGUGUUAUACUUCAAUUUAAAUCGGAGGCUGAAACCAGAGGUUCGCUUGAGGCCGGGAGUCCAAGACCAGCAUCGGCAAACUAGUAAGACCCCAUCUCUACAAAAAUAAAUAAAUAAAUAAAUAAAUAAAUAAAUAAAUAAUAAAUGAAAAUAAAUGUUAGCUUCCAGAGGUAACUACUCCCUAUACAUUUAGACAUAUAUAAAAUAUGAGAAGUUAAGAAAUUUUUCACAAAUAAUAGCUAAUGUUAGUGGAGUGUUCACAUUUGUUAUUUUUUUGUGCAUUAAUUCAAUCUUUACAAUAGCCCACUUAAGUAGGUAAUAUUGUCCCCAUUUUACAAACUGAGGCUUAACAAGGUUAAGAAAUUUUCCUUAAAGUUGGGGGCAGUGGCUCACACCUGUAAUCCUAGCACUUUGGGAGGCAAGAGGAUUGCUUAAGCCCAGGAGUUCAAGACCAGACUGGGCAACAUGGUGAGACACUGUCUCUACCAAAAUAAAAGCACAAAAGAAAAUUAGCCAGGCAUAGUGGCAUGCGACUGUAGUCCCAGCUACUUCAGAGGCUGAGGUGGGAUCAAUUGAGCCCAGGAGGGCAAGCCUGUAGUGAGCCAUGAUUACAUCACUGCACUCUAGCCUGGGUGACAGUGAGUGAAACCCUGUCUCAAAAAAAAAAGGAAAAAAAAAAUUGCCUUAAGUCAUAUAGAUUGUACCAGCAGCUCUCACAGUGUGGACUUUGGACUUCUAGGAGUCCCCAGGAACCUUUUAGGGGAUGCCUACGAGGAGGUCCAAACUGUUUUCAUAAGAACGCUAAGGUGCUAUGUGCCUUUUUAACUCAUUCUCUCACGAGUGUUCAGUGGAGUUUUCCAGAGGCUCUGUGACAUGGUGACAUCACUCUGAUAAUUAGUAGAAUGUGUGUGUGUGUACUUUUGUUUUCUAGAAUAUUGUAAAUUGAUAGAUUUAGGGUAUAAAUAUAUGUGUUUUCAGAGAUUAACUCAGUUUGCUGCCAGUGCUUCUACUGUGCUCUUACUGGCUAUUUUCAUUUAUACCUGCUGCUGAGUCAUGACCACCCAAAAUCUACAUGUUGAAGCUCUAACUCCCAGUAACUCAGAAUGUGACUGUUUAUUUGGGGAUUGGGCUUUUAGUGGGGUGAUUAGGUUAAAGUGAGGCUGUUAGGGUCGGCCCUAAUGCAAUCUGUCUGGUGUCUUUAUAAGAAGAGGGAAUUUGGACACACAGAGACACCAGACUAGUGUGUGCACAGAGGAAACGAAGACACAGCAAGAAGGCGGCCACCCUGCAGGCCAUGAAGAGAGGGCUCAGGAGAAACCAGACCCACCAACAGUUUGAUCUUGAACUCUGAGCCUCCAGAACUGUGAGAAAAUAAUCGUCUGUUGUUGAAGCCACCCAGUCUGUGGUACUUUGUUACGGCAGCCCCAGCAAUGGAUACACGUGCUGUAAUGCAGAAGCUUAUGCCAGACUCUGUCUUCUUCUGACCAGACACUAAAGAGAUUUGUAAAACUGUAAAACAGUGCCACUCUCUUACUAAUUUGGGGGAGCGGUAGAGACGGUUGUUUUUCAUAAAAUAUUCUGUUAAUAUGAAAUGGGUACAUUUAUUAUUUUAAAA